GACGAACGCUGGCGGCGUGCUUAACACAUGCAAGUCGAACGGGCCCGCCCCUGUUUUUGGGGGUGGGUUGAGUGGCGAACGGGUGAGUAUCACGUGAGUAACCUGCCCCCUGCUCCUGGAUAACUGCUUGAAGGGGCGGCUAAUACGGGGUGUGCCGGCUGGUCCGCAUGGGCCUGGUCGGGAUAGUUUCAUCUUCGGGUGUUUCGGUGGGGGAUGGGCUCGCGGCCUAUCAGCUUGUUGGUGGGGUGAUGGCCCACCAAGGCGGUGACGGGUAGCCGGCCUGAGAGGGUGGGCGGCCACACUGGGACUGAGACACGGCCCAGACUCCUGCGGGAGGCAGCAGUGGGGGGUAUUGCACAAUGGGCGGAAGCCUGAUGCAGCGACGUCGCGUGAGGGAUGGAGGCCUUCGGGUUGUGAACCUCUUUCUCCGGUGGUGAAGGCCCUGUCCGUUGCGGCGGGGUUGACGGUAGCCGGGUAUGAAGCGCCGGCUAACUACGUG
rnacentral:rRNA from 1 species